rnacentral:rRNA from 1 species
UACAGAGGUCUCAAGCGUUGUUCGGAUUCAUUGGGCGUAAAGGGUGCGUAGGCGGCGCGGUAAGCCGGGUGUGAAAUCUCGGGGCUUAACUCCGAAACUGCAUUCGAUACUGCCGUGCUUGAGGACUGGAGAGGAGACUGGAAUUUACGGUGUAGCGGUGAAAUGCGUAGAUAUCGUAAGGAAGACCAGUGGCGAAGGCGGGUCUCUGGACAGUUCCUGACGCUGAGGCACGAAGGCCAGGGGAGCAAACGGG